rnacentral:rRNA from 1 species
AGUGAACGCUGGCGGUAGGCCUAACACAUGCAAGUCGAACGGCAGCACAGGAAGAGCUCGCCCCUACGGGUGGCGAGGGGCGGACGGGUGAGGAAUACAUCGCAAACUACUUUGUCGUGGGGGAUAACGUAGGGAAACUGACGCUAAUACCGCAUAUGACCUACGGGAGAAAGCAGGGGAUCUUGGGAGCUUGCGCGAUUGAAUGAGCCGAAGUCGGAUUAGCUAGUUGGCGGGGUAAGGGCUCACCAAGGCGACGAUCCGUAGCGGGUCUGAGAGGAUGAUCAGCCACACUGGAACUGAGACACGGUCCAGACUCCUACGGGAGGCAGCAGUGGGGAAUCUUGCACAAUGGGCGAAAGCCUGAUCCAGCCAUACCGCGUGAGUGAAGAAGGUCUUCGGGUUGUAAAGCCCUUUUGUUGGGGAAGAACAGCAGUGUGUUAAUCCCCCGCUGUUCUGACGGUACCCAAACAAUAAGCCCCGGCUAACUUCGUG